rnacentral:misc_RNA from 1 species
UACGGAGGAUCCAAGCGUUAUUCGGAAUCAUUGGGCUUAAAGCGUCCGUAGGCGGGAUAUUAAGUCGGUGGUGAAAGUCUGCAGCUCAACUGUAGAAUUGCCAUUGAUACUGUUGUUCUUGAGUGUUUAUGAGGAGGUUAGAAUAUGUAGUGUAGCGGUGAAAUGCAUAGAUAUUACAUAGAAUACCGAUUGCGAAGGCAGAUCACUAGUAAAAUACUGACGCUGAUGGACGAAAGCGUAGGUAGCGAACAGG